rnacentral:rRNA from 1 species
GUGAACGCUGGCGGUAGGCCUAACACAUGCACGUCGAACGGCAGCACCGUAAGAGCUUGCUCUUACGGGUGGCGAGUGGCGGACGGGUGAGGAAUACAUCGGAAUCUACUUUUUCGUGGGGGAUAACGUAGGGAAACUUACGCUAAUACCGCAUACGACCUACGGGUGAAAGUAGGGGAUCUUCGGACCUUGCGCGAUUGAAUGAGCCGAUGUCGGAUUAGCUAGUUGGCGGGGUAAAGGCCCACCAAGGCGACGAUCCGUAGCUGGUCUGAGAGGAUGAUCAGCCACACUGGAACUGAGACACGGUCCAGACUCCUACGGGAGGCAGCAGUGGGGAAUAUUGGACAAUGGGCGCAAGCCUGAUCCAGCCAUACCGCGUGGGUGAAGAAGGCCUUCGGGUUGUAAAGCCCUUUUGUUGGGAAAGAAAAGCAGCAGGUUAAUACCCCGCUGUUCUGACGGUACCCAAAGAAUAAGCACCGGCUAACUUCGU